rnacentral:rRNA from 1 species
GAUGAACGCUGGCGGCGUGCCUAAUACAUGCAAGUCGAACGAACAGAUGCUGCGCUUGCUGCUCUCACGUUAGCCGCGCGCGUGAGAAUAACACGUGUAUAACCUCCCUGUCUUAGUGAGAUCACUUCGGAACACCGGCGCUAAUCCCAGAGAAUAUCUUGAACCGCAGUGUUCAAUGGUAAAAGACGGUUUUUCGGGCACUACUCGAUGGAUCUCCGCCGGAUGAGCUGGUUGGUGAGUUAACAGCUUACCAAGGCAACGAUGCCUGACCGAGCUGACGGGCGGAUCGGCGACCUGGGAACUGAGACACGGUCCAGACUCCUACGGGAGGCAGCAGUAGGGAAUCGGCCGCAAUGGGGGAAAGCCUGACGGAGCAACGCCGCGUGAGUGAUGGAGGUGUCCGGAGCGUAAUACUCUGUUAUUAGUGAAGAACAAAUUUGGAAGUAAAUAUGCACGGAUUGACGGUACCUAAUCAGAAAGCAACGGCUAACUACGUG